rnacentral:rRNA from 1 species
UACGUAGGGGGCAAGCGUUGUCCGGAAUCAUUGGGCGUAAAGCGCGUGUAGGCGGCCCGAUAAGUCCGCUGUGAAAGUCCAGGGCUCAACCCUGGGAUGCCGGUGGAUACUGUCGGGCUCGAGUCCGGAAGAGGAGUGUGGAAUUCCUGGUGUAGCGGUGAAAUGCGCAGAUAUCAGGAGGAACACCAAUGGCGAAGGCAGCACUCUGGGACGUGACUGACGCUGAGACGCGAAAGCGUGGGGGGCAAACAGG